rnacentral:rRNA from 1 species
CGCUGGCGGCAGGCUUAACACAUGCAAGUCGAACGGUCUCUUCGGAGGCAGUGGCAGACGGGUGAGUAAUGCAUGGGAAUCUACCAUUCUCUACGGAAUAACUCAGGGAAACUUGUGCUAAUACCGUAUACGCCCUUUUGGGGAAAGAUUUAUCGGAGAGUGAUGAGCCCAUGUUGGAUUAGCUAGUUGGUGGGGUAAAGGCCUACCAAGGCGACGAUCCAUAGCUGGUCUGAGAGGAUGAUCAGCCACACUGGGACUGAGACACGGCCCAGACUCCUACGGGAGGCAGCAGUGGGGAAUAUUGGACAAUGGGCGCAAGCCUGAUCCAGCCAUGCCGCGUGAGUGAUGAAGGUCUUAGGAUUGUAAAGCUCUUUCACCGGUGAAGAUAAUGACGGUAACCGGAGAAGAAGCCCCGGCUAACUUCGUGCCAGCAGCCGCGGUAAUACGAAGGGGGCUAGCGUUGUUCGGAUUUACUGGGCGUAAAGCGCACGUAGGCGGACUUUUAAGUCAGGGGUGAAAUCCCAGAGCUCAACUCUGGAACUGCCUUUGAUACUGGAAGUCUUGAGUAUGGAAGAGGUGAGUGGAAUUCCGAGUGUAGAGGUGAAAUUCGUAGAUAUUCGGAGGAACACCAGUGGCGAA